rnacentral:rRNA from 1 species
AAAUUGAAGAGUUUGAUCAUGGCUCAGAUUGAACGCUGGCGGCAGGCCUAACACAUGCAAGUCGAACGGUAACAGGAAGCAGCUUGCUGCUUUGCUGACGAGUGGCGGACGGGUGAGUAAUGUCUGGGAAACUGCCUGAUGGAGGGGGAUAACUACUGGAAACGGUGGCUAAUACCGCAUAACGUCGCAAGACCAAAGAGGGGGACCUUCGGGCCUCUUGCCAUCRGAUGUGCCCAGAUGGG